rnacentral:rRNA from 1 species
GAUGAACGCUAGCGACAGGCUUAACACAUGCAAGUCGAGGGGCAGCGGGGUAGCAAUACCGCCGGCGGACCGGCGCACGGGUGAGUAACGCGUAUGCAACUUAACCUAGUCAGAGGGGGAUAACCCGGCGAAAGUCGGACUAAUACCGCAUGAAGCAGGGAUCCCGCAUGGGAAGUAAUUUGCUAAAGAUUCAUCGCUGAUAGAUAGGCAUGCGUUCCAUUAGGCAGUUGGCGGGGUAACGGCCCACCAAACCGACGAUGGAUAGGGGUUCUGAGAGGAAGGUCCUCCACAUUGGUACUGAGACACGGACCAAACUCCUACGGGAGGCAGCAGUGAGGAAUAUUGGUCAAUGGCCGAGAGGCUGAACCAGCCAAGUCGCGUGAGGGAUGAAGGUUCUAUGGAUCGUAAACCUCUUUUAUAAGGGAAUAAAGUGCGGGACGUGUCCCGUUUUGUAUGUACCUUAUGAAUAAGGAUCGGCUAACUCCGUGCCAGCCGCCGCCGUAAU